UACAGAGGGUGCAAACGUUGCUCGGAAUCAUUGGGCGUAAAGCGCACGUAGGCGGCCCAGCAAGUGGGGAGUGAAAGCCCUCGGCUUAACCGAGGAAGUGCUUUCCAAACUACUGGGCUUGAAUACUGGAGAGGGUCGCGGAAUUCCCGGUGUGAGAGGUGAAAUUCGCAGAUAUCAGGAGGAACACCGGUGGCGAAGGCGGUUCUCGUGGGCA
rnacentral:rRNA from 1 species